UUAACUUAAAUUUGUAUGGAGUUGGAAAGUUUCCAACGUUUGCCGCUAGGGGCGCUGUUCCAACUGCAUACAAAUUUGAGUUA
rfam:Bombyx mori DNA, contig: Bm_scaf90_contig34354, strain: p50T/Dazao, build 2, whole genome shotgun sequence.